rnacentral:lncRNA from 1 species
CCUCUUUUUGAUCGUCAGGCUCUCCUUGCUGCGGCUUGACCCAACUGCACAUCUCACCUCAGCGUUAUGAAAGUGCAAGGUCUUCAGCAAUGCUAUUGUGGUGCUGGGAUGGAGGAGGAUACAUUGCCUGCAAAACAAUGGUUUCUCUAGCACUUUGAGAACUGCUGAGCAGGCUGCUGUUCUUGGGACCUGUACCUCUGCAGUGUCACAAUGGCUGCUGCCCUAGGUUGCCUCCCUUCUUGAGAAGGCAGCACAGGAAGGUGGACUGGAAGCCAACUCCUAGGAGAUGAAAACUGAGGGCAUCCAAUUUUGAGUGACAGGGUGAUACAUUCCCACGGUCAUCAGCAGCCCCUGGCCCUCCACAUCUAACUAGAAGCAGGGAUGAUGCUGACACAGCAGAAGGCCAUCUACUUUAGAAACAUUUGUGCAAACAUUUUUCUAAGAAGUAUAUCAGGAACCUGUCCUACAUCUGUAAAAACCAUGAGAAGGCUGCUUUUGAGUAUGCUUCCCCCAGUGCCUGUAAAGGCAUUUCACUUUCUACUCGGGCACUAGGCCAACAACUAGUGCCCACUUGCUCCAAAACAGUGCAUAUCCCAUUAUACUGGUCUGUUACAGACUAGCAUUUCACUUUGGAAGUCUCCUAGUGUUAAAAGGCAACUGCAGGAUCAAAACCACAGAAAAUAAGUUCAUCUAAGGGCAGAUUUUUGUCCUUAAAAUUGCAUUACAUGAAGGAAUUGCCAUUGGGAACAAUUAAGAAAUCAACAUCUGCCAAAAAAUACACACAGUUAUUUUCUGUUGUAAGUGUAGGGAGGAGGUGAUAUAUUAGAAACCAUUUUGCAAUGACAACCACUCUACCAACGUGAAAGUUUUAAAACACUCAAGAGGUCUUUCACAAACUAAAUCUGAUGCCCCUUGUGUCAUCAGAACAAAUAUAUGGCACACAGAGGAAAAGCCAGAACACAUCAGAAACAGUGUCAUUGGAGUAAUCACGCUUAGACCACAGUUGCUGGGUGCAGAUGCAUAAACAUGAAUAAAGCAAGACUGUAAAAUGUACAAUUUUACUUUUCAGGAGUUAUCUUUUGUUUAUCAUUAAAAUUAUUGUGCAGAUAAAAAAUUUAUCCUAGAGAAGUUGCAGUUGAAGUUCAAAUCAUACUAGCAUGUAUUUUAACAGGAGCACCAGCAGGUAAUUAAGAGAUGUGUUCAAUCUAGAGUUGUGUGUUACCACCAAAAUGCCCCAUAGUUUUAUUAGUAUCAGUAACUUUGUUUCAGAAAGUAUUUUUGUCAUGAAAGAUGAGUUCUUUUCUGAUUUGAUUAGACUGACCAAGACCUUGGUUUCACCAUGUCAUAGAUGAAGAGGAAAGUACAUAGGCCACUGUGAUUGUGAAGAAUGAUCUACUACUUAAUCUUGACCGUGUGAUUUCAUGAGGUGCAUUGUAGCUGGAACUUGUUGACAUAAAAGUAUUAUUUAAAAUGACCAGAGAGAGAUUUUUCAUAAGUUUUGAGAAUCUCUCAUUAUUAUUCAACUGUUAUGUUUGAUAUCCAACUACAUCACAUUGCUCUUACAAAUAAAUAAAUGUGAUUCACAUU